rnacentral:lncRNA from 1 species
CCACAAUCUACGACACUAGAAACACGAUUCCAGUGAACCUUAAUCCUCUGCGCCCUAAUUUCUCCCCCAAAAAUUCCACCAACUUUAGACGCCUCACUAACGUCGAGCUUCAAGCCAAGAAAGAGAAGGGAUUAUGUUGUAGAUGUGAUGAAGAAUUUACAAUUGGGCACAAAUGUAAGAAUAAGGAGUUACAAGUAUUGGUAGUUCGAGAAAUGGAAGAAGGUGAGGGACGGGCCGAGGCAAUACAGGCCGGCGAACUGAGCUUCGGCGACGGCGAGGGAGAAGGAAGACCGGUGUUGGCCGAGGAAGAAAUCAUUGGCCCGGGUCAGCUGGUUGAACUCUCCAUAAACUCUAUGGUCGGUCUUACAACCCCGGGCACUAUGAAGCUGCUAGGAAGACUUGGCUCGAAGGAUGUGGUGGUUUUAGUGGAUAGUGGAGCAUCACACAAUUUCAUUUCGGCAGAAUUGGUCCAGCAGAUGGGUUUCCCCAUAUCUAGUACAACAAACUAUGGAGUGGUGAUGGGCACCGACUUAACAGUAAGAGGGGAAGGGAUUUGUCGACGGGUGCCUUUGAAGCUGCCGGGGCUGUUAGUGGAGGAAGACUUCUUACCUUUAGAACUGGGCAGCUCCAAUGUUAUAUUGGGAAUACAAUGGCUUAGGUCAUUAGGAAAAAUGCAAGUGGAUUGGAAGGCCCUGACUAUGUCUUUCGACGCCGGAGGAGCUAAAGUGACCUUGUAGGGGGACCCAAGCCUCAGCAAGACCCCCGUAUCAUUGAAGUCAAUGUUGAAAGCUUUUAAGGAGCAAGGAGAAGACCUCUUAUUGGAAUUGGGAAGUAUCACCAUUAAUCCCAGUUCUGUCUCAGACCUUCCGUAAAGAAUCAUUGUUGAAGUUCUGGAGGAGUUCAACUCAGUCUUCGAAUCUCCUACACAGUUGCCACCAAAAAGAAAUCAGGAUCAUGCAAUCACUUUGAAGGCAGGGGCAGAAUCGGUCAGUGUGAGACCAUACCGUUACCCCCACUUCCAAAAGAACGAGAUUGAGCAGUUGGUGAAAGAAAUGUUGGCUGCCUGAAUUAUUCAACAUAGCACCAGCCCUUUUGCAAGCCCUGUAUUGCUAGUAAGGAAGAAGGAUGGCAGUUGGCGAUUUUGCAUGGACUACAGGGCUUUAAACAAGGUCACUGUGCCCAACAAGUUUCCAAUUCUAGUAAUUGAUGAGUUACUGGAUGAGCUGAAUGGAGCCACAGUAUUCUCGAAAAUCGACCAUAAGUCGGGAUAUCACCAGAUUCGGGUUAGGGUUGAAGAUGUGCCGAAGACUACCUUCCGAACUCACGAGGGACAUUAUGAGUUCCUAGUCAUGCCCUUCGGCUUGACUAAUGCACCCGCGACUUUUCAAUCAAUCAUGAACGCCCUCUUCAGAGAGCAACUUCGGAAGUAUGUGUUAGUCUUUUUUGAUGACAUAUUGGUUUACAGUCGCACGGAGAUAGAGCAUCGGGAUCAUUUGCGAACGGUCUUGUGGAUCUUAUUGGAAAACCAGUUUGUUGCAAAUAGGAAGAAAUGCUUAUUUGGACAAACAGAGAUAGAGUACUUGGGUCACAUAAUCUCAAAAAAAUGAGUAGCGGCAGAUGAAUCAAAGUUGACAGCUAUGCGAGACUGGCCACGACCCCAGACGAUCAAAGAGUUGCGGGGAUUCUUGGGGUUGACAGGGUAGUACCGGCGAUUUGUGGAGGGUUAUGGGAAGAUAGCGUGGCCUCUAACCCAGCAAUUGAAGAAGGAUAGCUUUCGGUGGACUGAUGCAGCAGAAUUGGCCUUUAGACAAUUAAAAGAGGCAAUGAUAAAAGUUCUAGUGUUGGCACUCCCUGAUUUCUCGCAGACCUUCAUAAUGGAAAUUGAUGCUUUGAUCACGGAUUAGGGGCUGUCCUAAUGCAAAACCAGAGGCCAAUUGCCUAUUUCAGCCAGACACUUCCACCAAGAAGAGAAUAAAUCAAUUUAUGAACGAGAACUCAUGGCUAUUGUUAUGGCAGUACAAAAAUGGAGGCAUUACUUGCUGGGAAGACGAUUCGUGGUCAGGACAAAUCAGAAGGUUCUUAAGUUUCUCAUGGAACAACGUUUAGUGAAUGUAGAAUAUCAGAAGUGGCUAACAAAGUUGCUGGGCUUUGACUUGGUGAUUGAGUACAAGCCGAGACAAGAGAAUAAAGCAGCAGACGCACUUUCGUGUAAAGGGGUAGUAGUUUCUUUAAUGGUUCUCAGCAUACCAAGUUAUCUGCAACUCGACGAGAUAAGAAGGACCGUGGAAGAGGAUCCUGAGCUGGGUCGAAUUGUGACUGCCCAGAAGGACGAUUCCUCCUCUUGCCCAGGUUAUGCCCUAGUAAAUGAGGUCCUGUUGUAUAAAGACCAGAUAGCACUACCCGGGAAUUCUCCAUUCACUCUACUGGCAUUACAGGAGGGACACGAUAGUAAAGUAGGGGUUCAUGGAGGUUUCCUCAAAACUUACAAAAGGUUAGCUGAGACUUUCCAUUGGGUGGGUAUGAAGAAGGAGAUUAGGAAUUAUGUUGCUGCCUGUGAAGUGUGUCAACAGCACAAAUAUUCCACUUUGGCACCUGCAGGUCUAUUACAGCCACUUCCUGUGCAAGAGAAAAUAUGGGAGAAUAUAUCUAUGGAUUUCAUAGAAGGAUUACCCAGGUCGGAGGGGUUCGAUUCCAUACUGGUUGUGGUAGAUCGCUUGAGCAAAUAUGGCCACUUUAUUGGCUUGAAACAUCCAUUCAUGGCGCCAUCAGUAGCAGCAAUAUUUGUUAAAGAAGUGGUUCGAUUGCAUGGGAUCCCCAAGUCAAUCGUGUCUGAUCGGGAUAAAGUAUUCGUGAGCAACUUUUGGAACGAGCUAUUUCGCCUACAGGGAACCAAAUUGAGGGUCAGUACAGCUUAUCAUCCUCAAUCCGACGGCCAGACUGAAGUGGUGAAUAGGGGGAUUGAGACCUACUUGCGAUGUUUUGCUUCAUUCAGGCUAAAAGAAUGGGUCCGUUUCCUACCUUGGGUUGAAUUGUCAUAUAAUACAUCCUUCCAUGUGUCUGCACAACUAACGCCCUUCCGGGUAGUAUACGGACGGGACCCUCCCCCCUUGUUGCGUUUUGAACAAGGAAUGACGGUUGUUUCAUCCUUAGAUCAACUAUUGGUAGAGAAAGACAAAAUUUUGGACGAACUCAAGAUACAUUUGGCCAGAGCACAACAGCAGAUGAAACACUCAGCUGAUAAGCACAGAAGGGCAAUGGAAUUCUCAAUUGGUGACUGGGUUUACUUGAAAAUGCGUCCUUAUCGUUGCAAAACUCUAGCACGACGUGCUAGCGAGAAACUCUCCCCUUGAUACUAUGGACCAUUUAAAGUAAUAGCUAGGGUUGGAAUGGUUCUGGGAACACAAAUUCAUCCAGUGUUUCACGUAUCACAAUUGCGAAAAGCAAUGGGGGGACAUCAUUUCCCUUCGGACUUUCCUAGCAACUUGGGGGCAGACUGGGAGUUAAUGGUUGAAUCAGAAGCAGUGCUGGGAAUUAGAACUGUGGCACAAGAAACAACAGACGGGCUGGAAGUACUUAUCCAAUGGAAGGGCUUAUCUCCGCUAGAGGCUACGUGGGAACCAAGCUAUCUCAUCAACCAACAAUUUUCCUCCUUCCACCUUAAGGACAAGGUGGCUGAAUUGGGGGGGGGGGAGUAAUUGAUAGGCCACCGGUUAAAUAUACUUAUACUAGAAGAAACAAGAAGAGCGGGGAGUGAGGGCAGUAACCAAUUUUGUUAGUAUAGUAGGAAGGGGUGAGUAAAUUCUGUUACAGAGACUAUAAAUAGGGGCUGAAUAAAAGUGUUAGGCAUGAGAUAAUUAAGUGAGGAAAUCACAGUGUGGAGAGUCACAGCCCUCUCAAACGGCUGCUUAUGUUCAUCUUUUCUUUUCUUGUAAUUCGGUCUACUUCAAAUUAAUACAAAGUUUCCUUUUCACUGUUAUAUA